rnacentral:misc_RNA from 1 species
GUAUUGUUUUAUAGCCAAUAAAGGCCAUUGAUUUCAUUCAUUCACAUACUAAAGGGUGUAUUAUAAACAUAGACUGGAAAUCCAAGGAGAGCUGGCUUUGAAACACAGCAAACCUCUGACCGAGUUUCCUCGAGAGCUAUCCAAGUCUACAGAGUGUGCACAGGUGGAAAAGUAAAUAUGGAAGUGUGCACAUGCUCCUAGAAGCCAGCAACAACCCUCCAAGUUUAUUCAAUAAUGAUCCUUCCGCAGGUUCACCUACGGAAA